GCGUGAGUGAAGAAGGCCUUAGGGUUGUAAAGCUCUUUCAGGUGGGACGAUGAUGACGGUACCACCAGAAGAAGCCCCGGCUAACUCCGUGCCAGCAGCCGCGGUAAUACGGAGGGGGCUAGCGUUGUUCGGAAUUACUGGGCGUAAAGCGCACGUAGGCGGCUUUUCAAGUCAGGUGUGAAAGCCCCGGGCUCAACCCGGGAACUGCACUUGAUACUGGAUGGCUAGAGUCCGGGAGAGGGUAGUGGAAUUCCCAGUGUAGAGGUGAAAUUCGU
rnacentral:rRNA from 1 species